rnacentral:sRNA from 1 species
GUACAACUCAAUAGGGGUCGGGGUGGGCGGCUAAUCCCCUGGAAAGGGGGUGAUGCCUUGAGCGUGUAUCAAUCACUAUCACUAAUGAUUGCCUUCGCAACUUUGGUUGUGCUGAUACUCAGACAUAAGCAAAAGUAGCCUGCCCCACAAGCAAUGGCUACUUUGCUUUUCCCCGUUUUGCCGCCCAUUGACGGCUGUGAGUUGUGCUACCGGGAUGUUUCCAGCGUCCCGG